GAGAAUUUCUGGUUCUCUUUAUGUUACAUCUAACACUUUCUUCAGUGAGAUCUCUGAUCUUAGUUGCAUGUCAGAUGACAUGACUGCUGCUGAAAAAAGUUG